GCCAGAGCUAUAUCUCGCUGCAGUUCCUGCCUGGUUUCCCCUCUGAAGCUAAGCAGGGUUGAGCCUGGCCAGUACCUGGAUGGGAGAACUAAGGUUGCUGCUGGAA
rnacentral:rRNA from 1 species